CCAAAGGGACAGAGGGCACACAGGGGCCGUGCAUCAGCAUCAGGGGAUAAAAGGCUGGGCUGGGGGACAGGAGGAGCCUUUUGAGGGGGACAGAAGUUGUUCUGUGUGGGCAGAAGCCUUCUGAUGAGGUAAAACUGAGGUUUUGUUUUCACCAAAAGCCUGGUUCCAGCUGCUCUUGGUACACACAUCUCUGCUCAAGCAGCAUCCUAACUGAUGUGCAGAAGUGUAGCAGAGAGAUUUGUGUGAGAGGCUUGAUUAAAGCUCAGCUCCUCUAUGCAAUCUGGAUCCCAAAACAUCAGGACAUUUUUGGUCCUUUUGAAAAAUGAUCCUCAGCCUGCCGGUGAGGUGCUAAUUAAUGUGAGGAUGUGGUGCACCAUAUAAUAAAGGCUGCUGUUGAGGAAUGUGAGUGAAGCGGGGAUUGCUCCCAAGCUGCUGAUGUGUAAACAAGAUUGCUGCAAAGGUGGGCCACAGUCAUGAAGGACAUGACCUGGUACCCUUAGCCCCCUCAACACAUUCCUCUUAUGGAGGCAGCAGACCCUCAGAACAGGCUCCUUCCAAGGGCCCUGCCUACAUUUUUCUGUCACCAGUGGCUCCAGAGGGGGAAGCCUGUGGAUGCAGAUCCGACUCUCCCCGCGUGCACAUGAUCAGCCAGCUGGUUUUGACUAGUUUAUCUGCAAAUCUAAAACACAUGAAGAACCAAAGUCUGCAGAACGGAAAAGAGCGAUUUUCUCUGGGAAGCCUCUAACCUGUUGUCAAGAAGAAUUCUGCAUUGUGGUGCAGCUGACUCAACUCGUUUCCCUCAGCUACCAAGAAAAGCAAAGAAAUGGCAAGUUCUGUACCUUUCCAAAAAUUUAGAAAAACAUUGGAUAAAUGGCUGAAGAGGAAUGUUUGACUCAAACCCCAGAACACUGAUUCAGGAACCACCUUUUACUGGCUGCCAUCUGAAUGCCAACAUUGAUUUGUGCUACCUGUUUUUUAGGACACUGAAACCUCACCCAUGCUGAAAGGCAAAGGCAGAAAAUGUUGGUUUGCCUUUAGCUCUGACAAAUAUCUAACAGUGGUGAGUGUGGGAUGAGAAUCCAAAAGCAAUUUACAUGGUGUGAUGGCAGCUGGGUGACAUCUUUCAUAGAUGUGGGAUGACAGCUCCCUGUCCUUCUUCCCCCUUUCAGCUCCCCAACACACAGCGCGUCCUUCUCGUUCCCAUUCUUCCUCGCUUGCUCCCUCUUUUGCCAGUCAUCUGUUUCCCCACCCAGGUGGCUCGCAGUGCCUUCCUUGACUGUGUUCAUCUGGGCUGAGGUUGCCAAACAACUGGGGUGUGGCCAGAUCCCAAAUCCCAGGGCAGCCUCACUGACCACCCCUCUUUCCAGCACCAGGCACGGCAGCCCUGCAGAGGCUGGCAGGUUGCAACAUGUGUAUUAAUAUGGCUUUGCUUUCUCGUAUCCUUAUCUCUAACAGCAAAUCUGUGUAGCUCAGGAUAUGAACUGCAAAUGAGAGAUGAGGAACUGGUUAGUGCUUAUCAGGAACGAUGGAAUUUGAGAUCUGGAGAUGAAGGGGGGUUGUUAGCUGUGUUUUUUUAAUGAGAGGACUGGCUGAUGUUUAUCAGUUGACCCCUGCUUCAGGUAACGGAGCAGUUGGCAGGGAGCUAUUCGUACUGAUUAGAUUGAGUGAGUUGGUAUUCAGAUUAACUUCUGAUUUCCCUUGUAUUAUUUGUACAAGCUCUUUAUUGCUCUGGAUAAUUCUCCCCUUCCUGGUUUAGGAAGUGGAACUGACAUCCUCCUGGAGCACUGCUACCAGCUCACCAGAUUUUAUUAUGUGAGACAACACGAUGGUCAUAGAUUAACUCAACCUCUUACUAUUUUUCUGUAUUAAAAUUAGACCUCUGUGACAUUUGCUUUGUUCUAACCAAACAGGGAUAAUGUACAGCUUUAUCAUCUAGGAAAGAUUUAUGGUACUGAGGCCCAUCAGGAUAUUACUUUUAAUCAACAUUUCUGUGGCUAAAGCAACUGCUGUCUUCUUUCAGGAUUGAAUAUUUGUGUAACCUGAGCGGCUUUCAAUCCUUGCUUGUUCUGAGAGUCCCCAAAACCUUUCUGCUGUGGCUGGAAGGAAUUAUGAUGUUCUUACCCUCCCUCUCCCCUGCUAAGUUCAUUGCAGUAUCUUUGGGUUUCUUUCCUCUCUGUUAUUUGUCACUGCCUUGUCUCACUUCCUUGCCACAACAGAUCUUUGAAGUGAUCCAUCAGAGGAGCAAAUUCAUAACCAGUUUUUCAAAAGUUCCCUUAUUGGAUUUACAAGCCUGACCCCAACAGACCUUGCAAUCACAGGUGAGAGUCCAGGUAGAACAAGUAAUAACUUCAUACAUGUGUACGUGAGGAUUUCCACUACACUAGCAAACACAUUUUUUGUGACAUUUCCAACCUGGCUAUCAAACCUCAUAUUGCACAUAUCUGUAGAGAAAACCAGGUUUGUUUUCCAUGAAUGGGCCACAUUAUGGGGAUUUUUUUUUAAUGUUAUUCCAUCUCCUACAGGCUUUUAUCCAAACCAAGCAGCUAAAAUAAAACAUGGCUUCCUUCCCUGAGAUGGUUUCAUAGCCCAGCUCUCCAACUUUCUCCCGUACCACAAACAUGCAACACAAUUGUGCAACAGCCGAGGAAGGAAUGGUGAGAUCAGAGCCGUGACUGCAGACAUCCUGACAUGGGGAUCUGGCAGUUAUUCAACACAAACACAAUUAGAGGACUUACCCUUGCG